UCGCUACUGUGAUAGCACCUGCCAGAACCAGAGCUGGCCUCUGGUGAUUAUGGGGGAAUCAUUAUCGCUCUCUCCCCCAAAAACUCAUUUUAUACCUGCCAACAUCUGAGGGGAGGAGGGGAGGAGGGCACAGGAGCGGAGGCUUCUACUGUAUAACAGUAUGUUCCUGAACAAUCACGCUUUCCAGCAACAUCCACACAUGCUCUCACAUCGGUUCAGCAUUAACUGGAGACCAUCCAUCAGCACUGAUUAUGGGCCACAGCACAUGCAGGCAGAGGGAUCUUGAGAACAAGGUAAA
rnacentral:lncRNA from 1 species